rnacentral:rRNA from 1 species
AUUGAACGCUGGCGGCAUGCUUUACACAUGCAAGUCGAACGGUAACAGGCCUUCGGGUGCUGACGAGUGACGAACGGGUGAGUAAUGCAUCGGAACGUGCCCAAUCGUGGGGGAUAACGUAGCGAAAGUUACGCUAAUACCGCAUAAGCCCUGAGGGGGAAAGCAGGGGAUCGCAAGACCUUGCGCUGAUUGAGCGGCCGAUAUCAGAUUAGCUAGUUGGUGAGGUAAAGGCUCACCAAGGCGACGAUCUGUAGCGGGUCUGAGAGGAUGAUCCGCCACACUGGAACUGAGACACGGUCCAGACUCCUACGGGAGGCAGCAGUGGGGAAUUUUGGACAAUGGGCGCAAGCCUGAUCCAGCCAUGCCGCGUGCGGGACGAAGGCC